rnacentral:rRNA from 1 species
GGGGAAUAUUGGACAAUGGGGGAAACCCUGAUCCAGCGACGCCGCGUGGGUGAAGAAGGCCUGCGGGUUGUAAAGCCCUUUCGGUAGGGACGAAAGCUCUUGCUCUAACAAAGCAGGAGGUUGACUUAACCUACAUAAGAAGCACCGGCUAACUCUGUGCCAGCAGCCGCGGUAAUACAGAGGGUGCGAGCGUUAAUCGGAAUUACUGGGCGUAAAGCGCACGUAGUCGGCUUGUCAAGUCGGGUGUGAAAUCCCCGGGCUCAACCUGGGAACUGCAUCCGAAACUGACUUGCUAGAGUAUGGGAGAGGGAGGCGGAAUUUCUGGUGUAGCAGUGAAAUGCGUAGAUAUCAGAAGGAACAUCAGUGGCGAAGGCGGCCUCCUGGACCAAUACUGACGAUCAGGUGCGAAAGCGUGGGGAGCAAAC